ACAGAGGGUGCAAGCGUUAAUCGGAAUUACUGGGCGUAAAGCGCGCGUAGGUGGUUUGAUAAGUUGGAUGUGAAAUCCCCGGGCUUAACCUGGGUCGGUCAUUCAAAACUGUCAGACUAGAGUAUGGUAGAGGGUAGUGGAAUUUCUAGUGUAGCGGUGAAAUGCGUAGAUAUUAGAAGGAACACCAGUGGCGAAGGCGACUGCCUGGACUGAUACUGACACUGAGGUGCGAAAGCGUGGGUAGCGAACAGG
rnacentral:rRNA from 1 species